GAUGAACGCUGGCGGCGUGCUUAACACAUGCAAGUCGAACGAAGCACUUUGAAAGCUUGCUUUUAGAGUGACUGAGUGGCGGACGGGUGAGUAACGCGUGGGUAACCUGCCUUAUACAGGGGGAUAACAGUUGGAAACGACUGCUAAUACCGCAUAAGCGCACAGUGCCGCAUGGCACAGUGUGAAAAGCUCCGGUGGUAUAAGAUGGACCCGCGUCUGAUUAGAUAGUUGGUGAGGUAACGGCUCACCAAGGCGACGAUCAGUAGCCGGCUUGAGAGCGUGAUCGGCCACAGUGGGACUGAGACACGGCCCAAACGCCUACGGGAGGCAGCAGUGGGGAAUAUUGCACAAUGGGGGAAACCCUGAUGCAGCAACGCCGCGUGAGUGAAGAAGUAUUUCGGUAUGUAAAGCUCUAUCAGCAGGGAAGAUAAUGACGGUACCUGACUAAGAAGCCCCGGCUAACUACGUGCCAGCCGCCGCGGUAA
rnacentral:rRNA from 1 species